CCAAAGGCCCUUUUCAGGGCCGCCCACAUUUUCUUAUUAAAAGAG
rfam:Mus musculus chromosome 13, GRC primary reference assembly.